CUUUUGUUCUCAAUCUGCGUUCUGUGUGUCAGGUUUUUAGGAGUGGGAGGUUGGCUGCCCUUUCCUGCAGAUGGCUCAUCAGAAGACUUUCUCGGGAUACUCACUUCCACGGGGAGGAAGCAUACAAAAGCAGAUGAGAUAAAAACAGCGAAGCUGAAGAACAGUGGAGGAGGAACGAAGAACUCCAUCCUGCCUCCUCCUUCCCUCCUUGCCAAUUAGGACCACAGCCUGCUACCCUCGGUCACAUGGAACAACUGCUUAGUAGCUCAUGCCAAGCAGCACCUUCACACAUGGCUUCCUUCCAUCCAGUAGUGAAGAGGAACAAACCUCAUCCUUGGGAGACCUCAUUUCUACUGGCUGUUUUGGUGAAUAACAUCUACUUUAAAGACUUUCUCUUCAGCUGGCCUUAGCACAGGUCUCUCUUGCCCCCUUGCCUUUGCAGGUGUAUAGGAACUGUUGAUCACAGCCUGAACCUCUGAUUGACCACCUGAGGCAAGCAGUGAGUCAGCCAUAGGAGCACAGGUGAAGUCAACUCAUCUGUGCUACUGGAAGGGGUGGAGCCUGCCUGCAUCUCUCCUAGAUCCCAUUUAUGUCCUGACUACCACAAAGGAAGGAUCUCUUUCUGGAGAUUGCUCUUUGUGGAGUUUACUGUGAGCCUACAACACUGGCUCUGUGCGAGCAGAGAGUGAAAAGGCAUCCGAGUGUGACCAGACACCGAUGGACAGGGAGAUUCCUGGAGCAGAGGUUUGCCUUCAAGCAAGCAGAACUGUGCGAUGUGCAAGACUUCUGACUCUGCAAGCAGCUCACCAAGGAGCUGGGCUGACAGACAGAGCAAGGACGGUGUCCUGAGCUUUGGCUUGGCUGCUGGAUGGGGAAUAAUUCUUGUGGGCCCCUUUCUGCUUGUGUGAGCGUUUUCGGAGCAUCUUCAGAAGCACCAUCUCUCCUCUGUCGUAUUAUUUUUGUUUGUAAAUCCUGGCUGAAGAAGGAUCUCAGCUCCAACAUAAAGCUCCAUCUGACCCGAGCAGUACGGGGCAAAUCUGGGAUCAAGCUUGUGAAGAAAAUAGGUUUAUUAGCCUUAUAAAUUGAAUCUGGAGUUCUUGGUGCAAGUAAACUAGUAUCCUCCCAAGUGAUUCUGCUUUAAUGAGUGUCGUCAAAGCUGCAGGUCUCACAGAUGUGAUAAAACCUGGACAUACCAGAGGUGGACAGCCUGGUUUCAGUGUGCUUCUGCCCAGCCUAGAAGAGCUCCCUCAGCAACACCAUGACUUCUCUCCCUAACGAUGGAGGGAGGUUCCCAGUAUAUUCCCAAAUUCCUCCAGUUAAAAACUUCCCACCCACAGACAACCCAGUGCAUCCCUUUGGAGAAGAAAACGCAAGGGGAAAUCCAGAGAUGAUGUUUGGCUUCCUGCUGCUGAGAUAAAUAGAAGAGGUGGGUUGCUGCCUUUGGGAAGAUUGUGUCAGCAGCCGCAAACAGCCCCAUCCCGCACAUAUCCUGCUCGUCUCUUCUUUGAUCUCAAAAGCCCUGCAACCCCCAUGAGCAUCACCCCUCUUCCACCUUACUGCAGCUUGCACAAUUUACGUGGCAGCGCUCUCCAACGCCAGGCAGCCGGGAAGUCUCCAGCUGAAACCUCUCCAUAAGCUGAUGGGAAGCGGCGAGACCCACACUGCCUUCAUCACUGUCAUCCCCAUCAAUGGAGCCAAAGGGUCAGAAAACUUCCACCCCUCCCCCCCCCCUCCUUGUGGUCUCUAUUUUGGGUUCCAGUGCUGCAGCAGCAUUCAUCUUUGUUACAUCCAUGGCAUGCCAUCAGCUCGCAGGUGAUGAGGAAAAGCAGAUGCUGUUUGUGGUGAGCCAGUUGUUCUCCCAUUUGUACAUCCCAAAAUGAGUUUCAAGAUUCCAAGCAUGCUUCACACUGUAGGGUUCUGUACAAGGAACCCUCGGAGGCAAAGUGUGCAGUGCACAGUGUCUGGGAAGGAUGCAACCUUAGGGGUAAAUGCAGUGUGGGGAACAGAAAAAAACAGCAAAAAAAGAGCAAUGUGUUAACGGAGGGAAAAAAAAACAUCAUGUUCCCUCUAUUCCUAGUUUUAUGCUUUCAGACAGUUCUGAAGCAACUGAAAAAACUGAGAAUUUGGAAAGAAUGUUGUGAUUUUAGCCGAGCUCAAUAUUCCAUUUAAUAAUUUGAAAAUUGAAAGGCAGCUGAACAGAACUUUGCCCAUUGACAUUUCCUGCUUAGAGAAUAAACCUAUAAGAGAGUAAAUAAAGGGAUUAUAAUGGGAAUUGGCAGGAGUAAACCAUUCUGUGCUGCAGUAAAAUUUAAUUCUAGGUGGUUUCAGUUGCAAUCUCCAAAACAAACCAUGAAUACUGCUGUCCUGCAAAUGCAUCUCUAUUGGGAAGCAGUUCUCAGCUGUGUCCAACCUGUAUUCUCAAAGGCUUUCCUUCCCAUGUGCCUGCACUCAGCUGCAAGUCAUUCAUGCCGUGCUCAUGAGGUGGGAAUCCACCUCACUUCAGUCUUUCAGACCAGAGGCAUCAUGCCUAAACCCACUGCCAUGGUUCCCUUGCUCUUCUGAGGGAGAUUGGUAAUGCAGCAGCCUCUUACAGCUCUGCAGGCAGGGUGUUUGCUUCCAGCUGACCACGCUCAGGAAGAUGCACUGGGCUGCCCAGUGCUUCCUAUUCCUCCUCCUGUUACGUUUUUCUUCUCUACCUGCCUAAACAACACUCUGUUUACACUAUCUUGGGCCAAGGAUCAAAGUGCCAUUCCCCCCUUCCAACAGCAUUGCCUUCCUUUGACUUGCUUUGUUAUAACUUCUGCAUUGCCCAGGUGCUAAGUUAUUCAUUAUGCGCAGGCUGCAGAGACAAUUGUAUGCAUUCCUCUUCCUGCUUGUGCAAUAUUUUGACAUUUCCUUGUGUCUAUUGGAAUUCAGUCUUGUCUUUAAAUAAAUAUCUUGCUUUCCCAUGGGAAGAGCUCCAGGAGCUCCUAUCUCAGCACUGCUUCCCAGCUGUCUGAGUUUUCCUCAUCAGCGUUUUGGGCGAUGGAAAUGUGGAGGAGGUAGGGUAUUUUAUUUGGGGUUGGGAGUUUUUGGAGUUUAAAAGGAGCAAUUCCAGAUCAUCAAGUUCCAGCAGCAUGCAUCCACCAUUUUCUAUGGUAUGUUAUCUUUUAGCCAAAGAUAUUCAGUUUUCAGGUCAAAUAGGAAAUCAGUUUUCUAAAUGAGAGAGGGAUUGUAGAGAUCCUGUCUUGUCAUAUUUCCAGGACUGUGGAGAAGCAGAACAUCAACAGCAAAAAUCAAUUGGUGUCAAAACAAUUUCUAAACAACGAUAUAAUUUGGAAACUAAAAACCAAAUCACCAUAACGCAUCUCAGAAGAUGGAAUAAACCAAUCAACCUGAAGAAGUAAGACGUGGUAGCAGGUGGGGCUGUCCACUAUGGGUGAUGGGGGAAAGCCCAUGGGCAGAGUCAAAGUAUACAGUUCAAUUAUACUGUUAAGCAAUGCCCCAAAAGACAGAUAUCAAGGAUUGCCCAGCUCAGGUGUGUUUGGCAGCAGCUGUUGCCUGCUCAGCACACUGGGUUGUUUCCUGUCUCCCGUUUUAACUUUGUUUUCCUUUGUCUGCACCCUCAGUGCUUAUCCUGCCCUAACACACGGCCAUUCCCACCUCCUGGUGGCACCUCACACCUCCUUGUCACCUUAUCAUCCAGGCAUGGAUCCCCAGCAGCGGUAGUGGGAUGUUAUUUGGUGAGAUAUUUAGGGGCUUUCACUCUGCUUUAACCAUGCAGGCACCCCACUGAGGAGCUGCUAAUACUACCCAGUCCAUAAGAGAAAUGAGGAUGCAGGUGGCUUUUCACCAGCCAUCAAGACUGAUGGUGCCAUGUGUCAUAGAAUCCCGGAGUCAUUCAAAUUGGAAGGGGACCUGAAGUGUCAUUUAGUCCAACUGCCUUGCAAUGCACAGGGACACCUACAGCUCCAUCAGGUGCUCAGAGCCCCCUAGCCUGACCUUGAAUGUCUCCACAGAAGGAGCAUCCACCACCUCCCUGUAUGACCUGAGCCAGAGCCUCACCAGUCUUCUUAUUGUACAAGGCUUUUUUCCUUGUAUCCAAUCUAAAUCUUCCCUGUUGUAGUCUGAAACCAUCUCCCCUUGCCCUACCAAUAUAAUUUGUAUAGUCUCUGAUAUCUGAUUUCCAGCUUCACUGUGGGCAGACUCUCUCAGCUGCCUGUUGUAAAGAUCCUGUGCUCUCUCAGGACCUGCAGGAGGGGAUGGGGCUGUGAGCUGGGUGGACCUCCUGCCUGGUCUGGCCCUUUGCAUCACCUGUGGGGAUUGUGAGCCAGGGCAAACACCAGAACACAAACAAUUUGCUUCAAAUUAUGCUUAUUGGCAAACCACCACGUUAGAAAUUAAUCUUGUUACUCCCCAGAUGUCAACGCUCCUUCCAUUCAAAAGGAAAAAAAACCCUCCUCACCCUGAUUUUAAUGCCUAGCCCAUGUUGUUGUUUUAGCCCUGCUUGCUUCCAAACCUCUUAGCGAGGCAGGAUCUGAUGGUUUUCAGGGAGCCCAUGUGGUUCUCGGCAGCCAGCCGUGCUGACUGAUGCGUGGAGCAGAGGGAGAUGCUCACAGGCGCACGCCCAAAGCAAACCCUGGGGUGGCUGAGCCCGUGCCGUUCCCACACCCUAGAGCAGCCCACACACAGCUCUCAAGCUUUCAGCCAUCCUCUUGGUCAUAUUUGAGCUCUCAGUUGCUUGUCCAAGCUGUGCAGCAAGGCCACGAUGCGAGCCUUUCCCCGGGGAAGGUGCCUUUCCACCGUUCCCAUACUGAGAAGGACAAUAGCUCAUGCAACAAACAGAGGGAAAGGCCCUGUGGUGUGUGAUGCAGGGCUGUUGCUUUGUGCUACCAUGCACAUCACUCAGCACAAGGCCACAGGGCAGGCAAGGCUUCAUGCUCACACCAACCUGAAGAUUUGCAGCCCAAGACUCAGCCCUAUAGCCUCAGCACUCACAAACAGGGUUGCUAAUUCAGGGUGAGCUUGAGAAAUCGAGAAUGACAGGUUCCCUCUUUUCCUUUUUUUCUCCCUUUCUUUCAAACUGGUAACUUACAAGCAACAGGUUCAUGUUUCUCCUCACAUAUGCCUCACAUAUUUGCCUUUGUUGUUUUGGCUAAAGCUAUCCUCUCAGGACCCCCCGAGCACACCGAGCAGCAUAUGGCCUUCUACUUGCUUCAUUUCCAGCCCUCAUUUUUUCCCACAGUAAACCAGCCUUUUUCAGGCAAUACUAAUCCCUAGUGCCUGUCACUGGUAGAGAAAAGCAUUAAUAACUGCAGUUAUCCUGGAAAUAUCUGUCACCCACAUUUGUUUUUUGUUUCCCUUUGGGUAAUCAUGCUCCAGAUCUAAUUACUGCAGAAAUUUCUUUUGCUCCAACGAGCAGCAUUUUGGGUUACCUCCCCGGCUGGUUGUAAGUCAGCUUUGCUGGCUGCAGGAGAUCCAUAUUGAUGCACAUCAGCUGAGGACCUGCUGCUUCGUGUCUUUAUUCCGUGUGUGGCUUGGGGUUGAUGAGCUGAGGGUGUGAUGGUUCACAAAGACACGGGAUCAGGCUUGCACUGAGGCAGCAUCUGGAGCCCAGCAAAGUCAGGGAGAGAUGUUCAUUGGGAUGAGUCACUGGGAGAGCCAGGUAAACAGAAUGGGAUGCUUUCAUCCCAUCCUAUUGCCUGCUUCAUAUCAGGGAGCUGAAACAACUCUUGUUGCUCUCAUGCCAUGGCAUGGAAGGAAGGUGCCACGGGGAAGCUUCCAUGAAGGUGUUCAUUGAACCCAUCAGCCAUGCUUGGGAAUCUCAUUAGGGAGCCACCAUCUGAUCUGGGUGAGUUUUCUCCCUCUUUUUGGCUGACUCACAUGUGAGAGGCAAAAUGUCAGGGAUGCGGCUUGCGAACGCACAGCACGGCAGGCUGUGGGGUACCUGGGGGAUGCAAACAGCAGCUGACAGAUGCUCAUCCCGCAUUUC